GAUGAACGCUGGCGGCGUGCCUAAUACAUGCAAGUAGAACGCUGAAGCUUGGUGCUUGCACCGAGCGGGUGAGUUGCGAACGGGUGAGUAACGCGUAGGUAACCUGCCUCUUAGCGGGGGAUAACUACUGGAAACGAUAGCUAAUACCGCAUAAAAGUCGAUAUCGCAUGAUAUUGAUUUGAAAGGUGCAAAUGCAUCACUAAGAGAUGGACCUGCGUUGUAUUAGCUAGUUGGUGAGGUAACGGCUCACCAAGGCGACGAUACAUAACCGACCUGAGAGGGUGAUCGGCCACACUGGGACUGGAACACGGCCCAGGCUCCUAAGGGAGGCAGCAGUAGGGAAUCUUCGGCAAUGGGGGCAACGCUGACCGGGCAACGCCGCGUGAGUGAAGAAGGUUUUCGGAUCGUAAAGCUCUGUUGUAAGGGAAGAACGAGAGGGAGAGUGGAAAGUGCACACUGUGACGGUAACUUACCAGAAAGGGACGGCUAACUACGUG
rnacentral:rRNA from 1 species